AGCAGCCGCGGUAAUUCCAGCUCCAAUAGCGUAUAUUAAAGUUGUUGCAGUUAAAAAGCUCGUAGUUGAAUUUCGGGAUUCUACCGUCGGUCGGGCUACCAAGUCUGUACUGGUGUGUAGAAUUCCUACCUUCUGGGGAACCAUCAUGUUAUUAAUUUAGCGUGGUGGGAAACCAGGACCUUUACCUUGAAAAAAUUAGAGUGUUCAAAACAGGCUUAUGUCUGACUACAUUAGCAUGGAAUAAUAGAAUAGGACGGUGGUCCUGUUUUGUUGGUUUCUGAAUCACCGUAAUGAUUAAUAGGGAUAGUUGGGGGCAUUAGUAUUCAAUUGUCAGAGGUGAAAUUCUUGGAUUUAUUGAAGACUAACUUCUGCGAAAGCAUUUGCCAAGGAUGUUUUCAUUAAUCAAGAACGAAAGUUAGGGGAUCGAAGACGAUCAGAUACCGUCGUAGUCUUAAUCAUAAACUAUGCCGACUAGGGAUCGGACGAUGUUAAAUUUUAUUGACUCGUUCGGCG
rnacentral:rRNA from 1 species